AACGCGAAGAACCUUACCAGCCCUUGACAUCCCGGUCGCGGGAACCAGAGAUGGAUCCCUUCAGUUCGGCUGGACCGGAGACAGGUGCUGCAUGGCUGUCGUCAGCUCGUGUCGUGAGAUGUUGGGUUAAGUCCCGCAACGAGCGCAACCCUCGCCCUUAGUUGCCAUCAUUCAGUUGGGCACUCUAAGGGGACUGCCGGUGAUAAGCCGCGAGGAAGGUGGGGAUGACGUCAAGUCCUCAUGGCCCUUACGGGCUGGGCUACACACGUGCUACAAUGGCGGUGACAGUGGGACGCAAUGGAGCAAUCCUGCGCAAAUCUCAAAAAGCCGUCUCAGUUCGGAUUGUGCUCUGCAACUCGAGCACAUGAAGUUGGAAUCGCUAGUAAUCGCAGAUCAGCACGCUGCGGUGAAUACGUUCCCGGGCCUUGUA
rnacentral:rRNA from 1 species